rnacentral:lncRNA from 1 species
CUUCAGCUUUCCACACUUUGUCCUUAUGAAUGCUGAGUUACCACAAGGCCUGACGACACGCUGCUGCUGCACCAGGCAGGACGGGACGGCGGGCUUGUCUGCACUGCUGGAAAGCAAGCAGCCAGGAACGGGCAUGCACAAGCAACCUGCAGAGCUCGGUGACCACAUUUCUUUGGUGUCUGCUGCCCAGCUGGAAAAGAGGUGUGCCUCUCAGAGUGUGCAGCCCUGAGGACCACAGAGGGAGGUGGGAGCAGCACCGUGGAAGGCAGAUGGAACUUGACGAUGUUGGCAAUACGUCUCCAUGCAAAAAAACAAAGGUGUGUUUAUAAAGGCAUGUGCCAGGUUAAAGAGACAAAUGCUGUAUCAUACAGAGGUUUACAUUAAAGAGAGGA